rnacentral:rRNA from 1 species
UCAUGGAAUAAAUCAUAGUCGAAAAAUACGAACUACAGUUUAAAACUCAAAGAUUUUGGCGGUGUCUUAUCGAACCAGGGGAACCUGUCUCAUAACUCGAUAAUCCACGAAUACCUUACCUCCUCUAGAUUAACCAGCUUGUGUACUGCCGUCGUAAGCACACCUCUAAAAGAGUUAGUAUGCAAUCAUGAUAAAUCUCAUAUACGUCAGGUCAAAGUGCAGCUAAUGGGGAAGGUGAUGAUGGGUUACAACCUAAAUAAAGACACGGAUUAAAGUUCUAAUAACUGUACAAAGGUGGACUUGGAUGUAACCACGGUUCAGUGCCGUAAUGAAAACGAAUCUAAGACAUGCACACAUCGCCCGUCACUCUUGCCUAAAGGCA